AUCUAUCGUUUAGAAAGUUUUUGUAUAUUGUAUCCUACGGUUCCCGAUCAAUUUCGUUCUCCAUCCUCGAUAAACCUCGAUUUCCGUCUCUGAUCAAUCUCUCUCCGAUCACACCGUUUCCGAUCGAUCUCGUUCCCUUCCACGAUCAACCUUUUUCUCCGUCUCCGAUCAACCUUUUUCUCCGUCUCCGAUCAACCUCGUCUUCCCUCUUCGAUUUACCUUGUUCUCCUCCAUCACAAAUCGAUCUUGUCUUGCACAUUCUUUGAUUGAUUUCAUCUACUUCCUCAUCCUCUCUUUAUCUGAUAGAUCUACCUUUUUCCUCAUCCCAAUCUUUGGUAAUGGCUGGAUGUGCUUCUUUGAAAAUGAAGAUAGAGGUAUGUGUUCCGUUUUAUAUUUAAAGAUCUCACUUGACUAGUGUUGUUGCAUUUACUACUGUAAAUGAAGCUUCUAUAUAGAUAUUAGAAAGGCAUUGGUUUAGUUCAAAUAUAUGAUGACCUCUAUUAAAAAGGAUAUAAAUGAACUAUUAGAGUUUGGUGAUUUUUUCUACUAAUCACCUUAAACACUAUUGAGAGGAUGAAGUUUAAAUUGUAUAGUGUUAAAAUCUGAAAUAGAAUAUGAUCAAUGCGGUACCUACUUAGAGGAUGAAGUUUGAAUUGUUUUGUGUUAGAAUCUUAAAUAGAAGAUGAUGAACGUGGUUCCUACUUAGAGGAUGAAGUUUGAAUUGUUUAGUGUUAGGAUCUUAAAUAGAAGAUGAUCAAUGCGGUACCUACUGCUAUAUCAAAUUAGUAUGCAAGUUUAAAAUAUAAUCAAAUCAUACUAAACGACAUGUCAUCAGAGUUGUAAACUUAUAAUACUAGUUCUAAUUAUAAUUUCCUUUUUUGAAUGUGUAUGCUAAUCAGUUUAGUUUUUUUAGUGAAUAUCAGUUGAAUGCUUACUCUCACACAGCUCUCUACCACUUUACUUUUUUCCGCCGUUUCCUAUAAGUUGAGUUUUUGCAAAAUAAAGUAAAAACACUCUAGUCAGCAUGGAGGUUCUUGAAGUAGCUUUGUUAUUAUGUUUUGUUUAUUGAUAAAAUCUACGAAAUAAAGAUUCUAAUAAAAAUCAAGAUGGACAUCAUAUAAUAAGAUACAUAGUUAGUUAAUUGAAACUACUAUCUUUUCAAUUAUAAUUUGUUUCUUCAUAAACUCUGUUGUGAGUUAAUGAGUGAUUGUUUGAACAUCUCUACUGAGACUUUUUAUGUCUCUUGUUUCUGAAAAAUUUGCCUUUGUUCUUUGCUGCAUAUAAAGGCUGGGAGUUAGAUACAUCAUCAAUAACUUUAAUUGUUGGAUAUAUGAAAAAGAUUAUGAAGAACUAAGUAUUUUCCAUGGAAGAUCAAACAUGUUCCUGGUAAAGCUGGUGGGUUGGCGCACACAGAUAAUCUAGUGCCUGUUGUACACGUUGGUCUCCUUGGAUUGCUUCUGUUCUAGGUAAUUAUUAGAAGACAGUGUAAUUAAGAAAGGUGGAAACUAGCUUGAUGAUCCAAGUACCCUUUUUAAAAGUGUCUAGAAUAAUAUUUUGAUGGAUGAUUUUUGAUUGACUGCGUGAAUGCGGCUAUAAUUUCCAACUAAUGAAUCUCAAUCCAUGGUAGAUAGCUUUGAUUUAAUUUGUUAACUGCAAGCUUGUAAUCACCUAUGGUUCUCAAUGAUGCUAGCUAUAAUUUUGAUUUAGUGCAUCCAACAAUAGUAGAAGUUAAAGAAGUAUUAUCAUGUGCCUGUUAAAUAUUUGUGUUGGUUUGUUGAUAUAUAUGAUUAAGUGUUUCAAUCAUGAUUUUAAUGUCUGAUUUUUCUCCAGAUAUUAUGAAGGAGAUUUUUUGUUUUUAGCCCAAGGCUUGUAAGUUGUGCGACUCGUCAAAUACCAGCCCUUUAUAUUCUGCUGUAAGCAAUGAUUUAACUAAAGCCCUUUAUUCAAUCUGUUGUAUGAGAUGUAUAAUAUGAAGCUUAUUCAGAUUAAUUUGGUUAUUGAUAUUUUGACUCACAUAGCUGGAUAUAUGGUUGCACGAUUGCAAAUAUUGAUGGAGUAGCUACUACAUUUGCUGCAGGAGUAUAAAUGACAAGGUACACAUGACCUUUUUCUUCUUUUGGUACAUUUCAUUUUGAACUUUAGUUAAAUCAUUACUGAAUUUGAAAGUUUGUUAUCAGUAACUACUCAUCUUUGAAACAAAAGUUAUUUCAUGGGACUAGUGUACAUGAAAAAAAAGUAAGGAAAUGAACAAAAUGGCUACUUUAAGUGCAAAAGAAGUGGCUGAGUACAAGUAAGGCUUCACUUAAAGUAGUGGUAUGCAAAAAUAAUUAUAGAGCAUAUGAAGCUUGGGUAGAAAAGGAUGGGAAUGUGAUUUUAUGACUUAUGUUUCUUAUUAAAAGCUCGUUUGCAAAUUUCUUUUACGUAGAAGUGUUGCCCAUCAUUGUUCAUGCAGUGUUAGUAAAAUAUCUGAAACAUAUUUUUGUACCAGCUUCAAAGAUUUUUGUUUAAUAUAUCUAAUUUUGUCUAAUUUUGUUAUUGUGUCUUUUAAAUUCCUAUUGUUGUUUGUUAUGUAGCAGGUUUUAAAUGUUUUAUUAUACGAAGAAAUCAAGUUUGGAACCGUUUGAUAUUCGAUUUGAUGAGCACGCAUCGAAGGUUGCAUUUCCGCAUGGUAUGAUGAUACCACCUAAUUCUUUUAAUACAAUGUACCAUUCUCUUGCGUUUUGGGCUUUGAUGCUUCUGGUGUCGGUUAGCAGGAUGGCUUCUAAUGUUUUUAGAGGUUAUUGGCGACAUAGGCUUAUUUGAGAAGUUGGGGUUAUGUUGCCGUCUAUCCUCCUAUUGUCUAUAGGUAUGGCAGAGUUUAGGCUUAUCCCUUUUCGGAGAAAGAUCUUCACGUGAGUGUCGGUAUCCUCCUAUUGUCUAUAGGUAUGGCAGAGUUUAGGCUUAUCCCUUUUCGGAGAAAGAUCUUCACGUGAACGUCGGUCGUUUAAUCAAGUAUUUGGUUUUGUGGAUAUUAAAUAAGCAUAGAUUGUUUGAAUAUUUUUUGAGAUGGGAUAAAUAUAUAUGUUAGAAUUGAUUAA